CUUCUUCAUCAUCUACUGCUUAAAACUGCACGACUGUACGUACAUUGUUGUUGCUCUUUUUAAACUCACAAAAAACCCACGAAAUUUGGGCUUACUUCUUGCUCUUCUUCAAGGUUAUACACAACCCAAAACCCACGAAAAUUCAAGUGCUUUCGACAAGCUGAUAAUACCGUUGAUUGCGGCUACUACGCUCUCAAAUACAUGGACGAUAUCUUACAAUCCGUGAAGGAGGUUGAAGUCGAAAACAUUGACGCCGUUUUAUACGACACUCCAAGGGAAACACGCCCUUUGAGAGAUGGAGAAAUGCGCCAAUUGAAAGACAAGAUUGCCGCGUAUCUUGCUAAGUUUUGUUCUUGGUAAAUAAUGUAAUUAGUUUAGAUUUAGGACUUUAAUUUGUAUAUGUACAUAUUAUUAUAUAUUCGACGAGAGUUUACAAAGAGAUUAUU